rnacentral:lncRNA from 1 species
GUCCACGCCAAUCGCGACGAGGCAGGGGCGGUGCCUUGGGCUCUCCGCAAUAAAACUUUUUGAUGUUCACGUUGCUAAUUGCUGAAGUCCUCUUUUAGGAUUGGCUACCCUUUCAUAUCCAUAAGAUAAUUAAAACAAAGAGGGAUUUUUUUAAACUUUUUUUUUAAUCAGCCAGAGGUUAAUGCAAGAGCAUAUGCUUUAGUAUUAAAAAAAAUUAAAAAAAAAAAGCCAAAAACUCUUUAAAAUCCUCUAAAAUAACUGGAUCUUCUCAAGUCAGGGGACACCAAGACCCCCAAAUGGAUUUCCUCCAGCUUUCGGAAAGUUUAAAAACCCGGCACCUCGUUCCCCCCCGAAUCCGUGGUGUGGCCGCUAUCGGUUUUCUGCCAGUUUAACUAGCCUGUUUGGAACAAGAUCACAGCAGUGAAAGCAGCUAAUACCAGUCCUGGGCUGGCUUGGCUCCGAAACAGGCGAGGACUUGAAUUUGGUGUGUAUUAGAAGCCAGCACAAUAUAGUUUUGUGCGGACAAGGGUGUCAACAGGAGCGUGCGAGCCAUAAAUGCGAGAGAGCCAGCGAGAGAGGCUGAAACAGACAAAGGAACCCCGAGCCCAAGUUCUGCCAAGGCUCAGAGGGAAACUCGAUGUCGCUGGGGAGAUUCCUGGAGGGCAGACUUGGGAUCUCUUGUGACCGCAUAACGUCAUUACUGAGGAGCUGCAGAGCUUUCAGAGAAUAUGCAGUUUUAAGCUCCACUCUUGUCGCUGUGAAGCAUUACUUCAUAUCUGUUAUUGUUCGGGUAUCCACCUUCUCCCACCCAAACCAUGGUUACAAGAAAUCUGGAGGAAGAUUGCCAUCUUGGAUGCAUCUGAAUCAGGUCUUUCUCUGGAGGUGGAUAGCAUUCUUUUCGUGUCUUCAGUCUCACUGUCGAAAUGGGCAAUCCAGCACCAACUCCAAGUUCAAACAUAGCCUCUCACUUACAAAGCAAUCUUUAAAAGCUAUACCAGAAGCAGACAAUCAUGAUGAAGAGGCAACUCUUUCCUCAGGGCUAUUGGAGACACUUUUUUGAACUCCUCACUUUCUUUGAAAAUUUAUCAAUCUCAUUAGUUUUGACAUUAACAUUAUUUCCACAUAUAUCCCUUCCCACUCCUGUUCCUUGUUUUGUAACAAAGCAAACAAGAAAGAAGGAAAAAGUUUCAAGAAAACACAUCUGAAAACUUGGCUACUCUCAGCAAUGCACUGAUCUGGAACAAUCCUGAAGAACUUAUGACGGAAUAAAUACUCUCCACCUCCAGAGAAAGAACUGUUG